rnacentral:rRNA from 2 species
GGUUAAGUUAACAAGGGCGCAUGGUGAAUGCCUUGGCACUAGGAGCCGAUGAAGGACGGGACUAACACCGAUAUGCUUCGGGGAGCUGUACGUAAGCUAUGAUCCGGAGAUUUCCGAAUGGGGCAACCCAGCAGUUUUAAUCAACUGUUACCACUAGAUGAAUUCAUAGUCUAGUUGGAGGUAAACGCUGUGAACUGAAACAUCUCAUUAGCAGCAGGAAUAUAAAGAAAUUUCGAUUCCCUAAGUAGCGGCGAGCGAACGGGGAACAGCCCAAACCAAAGUGCUUGCACUUUGGGGUUGUAGGACUGAACAUUUGAGUUACCAAAGAACUUGAUAGUCGAAGGAUUUGGGAAAAUCCGCCAUAGAUGGUGAUAGCCCAGUAGAUUAAAUCAAAUUCUCUCAGUUCAGGAUCCUGAGUACGGCGGAACACGUGAAAUUCCGUCGGAAUCCGGGAGGACCAUCUCCCAAGGCUAAAUACUACCUAGUGACCGAUAGUGAACCAGUACCGUGAGGGAAAGGUGAAAAGCACCCCGGGAGGGGAGUGAAAUAGUUCCUGAAACCAUGUGCCUACAAUAAGUCAGAGCGCGUUAAUGCGUGAUGGCGUGCCUUUUGUAGAAUGAACCGGCGAGUUAUGAUCCCGUGCAAGGUUAAGACUAAAAAGUCGGAGCCGUAGCGAAAGCGAGUCUGAAAUGGGCGUUUUGAGUACGAGGUUAUAGACCCGAAACCAGGUGACCUAUCCAUGUCCAGGUUGAAGGUGCGGUAAAACGCACUGGAGGACCGAACCCGUGUAAGUUGAAAAUUGCUGGGAUGAGGUGUGGAUAGCGGUGAAAUUCCAAACGAACUUGGAGAUAGCUGGUUCUCUCCGAAAUAGCUUUAGGGCUAGCCUCGGAAUUAGGAUCAUGGAGGUAGAGCACUAUUUGGACUAGGGGCCCGUCUUGGGUUACUGAAUUCAGAUAAACUCCGAAUGCCAUUGAUUCAUAUCCGGGAGUCAGACGAUGAGUGAUAAGAUCCACCGUCGAAAGGGGAACAGCCCAGACCAUCAGUUAAGGUCCCUAAAUGUAUGCUAAGUGGAAAAGGAUGUGGAGUUGCAUAGACAACUAGGAUGUUGGCUCAGAAGCAGCCACCAUUUAAAGAGUGCGUAAUAGCUCACUAGUCGAGUGAUUCUGCGCCGAAAAUGUACCGGGGCUAAGCAUACUACCGAAACCAUGGAUGCGACCAUUAGGUCGCGUGAUAGGAGAGCGUUCUAAGGGCGGUGAAGCAAGAUCGUGAGGACUUGUGGAGCGCUUAGAAGUGAGAAUGCCGGUAUGAGUAGCGAAAGAUAGGUGAGAAUCCUAUCCACCGAAUGACUAAGGUUUCCUGGGGAAGGCUCGUCCUCCCAGGGUUAGUCGGGACCUAAGUCGAGGCCGAGAGGCGUAGACGAUGGAUAACAGGUUGAGAUUCCUGUACUAGUUAAGUGCGUUUGAGCAAUGGAGGGACGCAGGAGGCUAAGAUGUGCAUUCUGUUGGAUUAGAAUGUCCAAGCAGUAAGUCUUGUGAAGAGUCAAAUGCUUUUCACUUUAAGGACAAGCUGUGAUGGGGAGCGAAAUUUAGUAGCGAAGCGUCUGAUGUCACACUGCCGAGAAAAGCUUCUAGUGAGUACUUAACUACCCGUACCGCAAACCGACACAGGUAGUCGAGGAGAGAAUCCUAAGGUGAGCGAGUGAACUCUCGUUAAGGAACUCGGCAAAAUGACCCCGUAACUUCGGGAGAAGGGGUGCUGAUCGCAAGAUCAGCCGCAGUGAAUAGGCCCAGGCGACUGUUUAUCAAAAACACAGGUCUCUGCAAAAUCGUAAGAUGACGUAUAGGGGCUGACGCCUGCCCGGUGCUGGAAGGUUAAAAGGAUGGGUUAGCUUCGGCGAAGCUCAGAAUUGAAGCCCCAGUAAACGGCGGCCGUAACUAUAACGGUCCUAAGGUAGCGAAAUUCCUUGUCGGGUAAGUUCCGACCCGCACGAAAGGCGUAACGAUCUGGGCACUGUCUCAACGAGAGACUCGGUGAAAUUAUAUUGUCCGUGAAGAUGCGGACUACCCGCGACAGGACGGAAAGACCCCAUGGAGCUUUACUGUAGCUUGAUAUUGAGUGUUUGUACAGCUUGUACAGGAUAGGUAGGAGCCAUAGAAACCGGAACGCUAGUUUCGGUGGAGGCGUUGGUGGGAUACUACCCUCGCUGUAUGACCACUCUAACCCGCACCACUAAUCGUGGUGGGAGACAGUGUCAGGUGGGCAGUUUGACUGGGGCGGUCGCCUCCUAAAAAGUAACGGAGGCGCCCAAAGGUUCCCUCAGAAUGGUUGGAAAUCAUUCGCAGAGUGUAAAGGCACAAGGGAGCUUGACUGCGAGACAGACAGGUCGAGCAGGGACGAAAGUCGGGCUUAGUGAUCCGGUGGUACCGUAUGGAAGGGCCAUCGCUCAACGGAUAAAAGCUACCCUGGGGAUAACAGGCUUAUCUCCCCCAAGAGUCCACAUCGACGGGGAGGUUUGGCACCUCGAUGUCGGCUCAUCGCAUCCUGGGGCUGUAGUCGGUCCCAAGGGUUGGGCUGUUCGCCCAUUAAAGCGGUACGCGAGCUGGGUUCAGAACGUCGUGAGACAGUUCGGUCCCUAUCCGUCGCGGGCGUAGGAAAUUUGAGAGGACCUGUCCUUAGUACGAGAGGACCGGGAUGGACAUACCUCUGGUGUACCAGUUGUGCCGCCAGGCGCAUCGCUGGGUAGCUACGUAUGGAUGUGAUAAACGCUGAAAGCAUCUAAGUGUGAAACACACCUCGAGAUGAGAUUUCCCAUUCCUUUAUGGAAGUAAGACCCCUGAAAGAUGAUCAGGUAGAUAGGUUAGAAGUGGCAGUGCGGUGACGCAUGAAGCGGACUAAUACUAAUCGGUCGAGGACUUAACCAA